rnacentral:rRNA from 1 species
CCUACGGGAGGCAGCAGUGGGGAAUUUUGGACAAUGGGGGAAACCCUGAUCCAGCAAUGCCGCGUGUGCGAAGAAGGCCUUCGGGUUGUAAAGCACUUUUGUCAGGGAAGAAAUCCUUUGGGCUAAUACCCUAGGGGGAUGACGGUACCUGAAGAAUAAGCACCGGCUAACUACGUGCCAGCAGCCGCGGUAAU